CAAAUGGGACUCUUUCGGAGAUGUGUUUCCUCAUGUUUGUGUGGCACUCUGAAAUCUCAGGAAAGAUGAGAGAAUAGGGAGGCCAUCUUUGGGAUCUGGGAUGUCCUUCUUAGUACUGUGUUCAGAACAAAGCAGCAUCUGGGGCCUGAAAACAUUGUGAAGUUCCUCCUCAGGGUCACCAACAGCACAGUCCAGAGACUGGCAGGGAAGGUUGAAAAUGACUGUGGAGGGAGCAGGGAAGUUUCUUGAAAUUCACAGAACCUGAGAACACAUCCAGCCAGCCAUUCUGUCUGGUUAAUAACUUCUUCAACAUUUGGAGAAGGAGGCUGCCUCACAAUAGGCUUGUCACAAAUCAGCACUAACACUUACUUUUCUAGCUCAUCUCCACACCAAGAGAUCAUGUCAGAGCAAGCUGGGUAUGAUUCUUUGGAAUAAGACAGGGCCAGCUUAGAAUUUCGAUGCUACUUCUUACAAGUUGUGGGCUGAUGCACAGAGACUCUGGAGGAAGAGCGAACAGAAAAGGACCACAAGCUAUACCACAGGCUCCAGUCACAUCUGACAGCCAGAUGCUCUGGAAAUAUAUCAUGGGCAUCUCCACCUGAAUUCUCCUAACCUGGGCAGAUGCAUCUCUAGGAUGACAAGACGUGGCAUAAACAGUAUUAAGAGAGUUCACUACAAGAUCUUUUGAAUUUCCUCUUUCUUAGUGUUGGUCUGUCCAAUAAGGGGCCUCUGAAGCAAUCCUGCCUUCCCCACUUUCACAGUUGUUCUUUCAUUUCACAGAAGAGCUUGCCUCUUACCUGUCCAGACACUUCCAUGGGGCAUUGCCCCGGAGGGUAGACAUCUCCAAAACAUAUUGGAUUGGUCAAGAUAUCAUCCCUUGAAUAAAGACCUUGCUGUCAAUUUGGCCCUCCUGCUUAUUCGUUAGAUGAUUUGUAACAUGCUCUUUGCUAUCUCUGCAUUUUCC
ensembl:lincRNA